UGACGGAGGCCAUAGUGAGUUU
rnacentral:piRNA from 1 species